CACGUAGGGUGCGAGCGUUGUCCGGAAUUAUUGGGCGUAAAGAGCUCGUAGGCGGUGUGUCGCGUCGGCCGUGAAAACCUACAGCUUAACUGUGGGCUUGCGGUCGAUACGGGCAUCACUGGAGUUCGGCAGGGGAGACUGGAAUUCCUGGUGUAGCGGUGAAAUGCGCAGAUAUCAGGAGGAACACCGGUGGCGAAGGCGGGUCUCUGGGCCGAUACUG
rnacentral:rRNA from 1 species